AUUGAACGCUGGCGGCAGGCUUAACACAUGCAAGUCGAACGGUAACAGGUCUUCGGACGCUGACGAGUGGCGAACGGGUGAGUAAUACAUCGGAACGUGCCCAGUCGUGGGGGAUAACUACUCGAAAGAGUAGCUAAUACCGCAUACGAUCUGAGGAUGAAAGCGGGGGACCUUCGGGCCUCGCGCGAUUGGAGCGGCCGAUGGCAGAUUAGGUAGUUGGUGGGAUAAAAGCUUACCAAGCCGACGAUCUGUAGCUGGUCUGAGAGGACGACCAGCCACACUGGGACUGAGACACGGCCCAGACUCCUACGGGAGGCAGCAGUGGGGAAUUUUGGACAAUGGGCGAAAGCCUGAUCCAGCAAUGCCGCGUGCAGGAUGAAGGCCUUCGGGUUGUAAACUGCUUUUGUACGGAACGAAAAAGCUCCUUCUAAUACAGGGGGCCCAUGACGGUACCGUAAGAAUAAGCACCGGCUAACUACGUGCCAGCCGCCGCGGUAA
rnacentral:rRNA from 1 species